CUUGAGUUCCACGCCAGCAAAUGAAGACCGCUCACUGAAUAAGGUGAUAUGGUCUCCUUAGCUCUGAUCUCUUACCCCUUAGUUUUCUCAUCAUUUUGAUCUGAUAAUCAUGCCUCUCUUCUACUUCAAUCGUCGUAAUUCCGAUGGUGAAAGUUCUAAUUCGUUUUAUGGUGAGACGCCCACAGGAAAAGCUUUCUCUGAUGCUCCUAUUCCAAUCAGAAGUAUUCAAAAAGACGAAGGUGAGACUUCUUCUUUAGCUGCUUACAAAUCUAUUUAUGAAAAGCUUCCUCUUCAUCUCAAAUCCUGCUUAGAUUACAUCUAUGUUCUUUCCCAAAAUUUUUAUUGGGAGAAAGGAAAAGUAGUUCGGUUAUUGUUGGCCCAAGGUAUAAUUCCUGAAGAACCAGGGGAGAUUAUGGAAGAUACAGCAUCAAAUAUUAUUACGGAAUUAAUUGGUCUUGGGAUGUUACAAGAAAAUUAUUUUUUUGAAAGUAAAGUGCAAGUCCCUGAAUUCUAUGGGAAAUCAUGUGUUAUUGAAGUUGAGGAGCAUGAUUUUGUUGCUAAAGUUGCGACUUCGCCUAUCCAUGCAUUGAGUUACAAUGAUGAAAAAGACAUUCUUCCUAACUUCAAAACACUACUAAUUCGAUCCUUGUUUGAUAGGAGUUUCAGAGCAUUUUCUCAGGUGCAUUUGCAAACUGUUUGUGCGUUGCAAUUUAUGUUAGUGUUGGAUUUGUUUGGAAACAUAGACUACUUACCUGAUGAAAUGGGAAAUCUGGUUCACCUCAGGUAUUUAGGUUUGAGUUCCACAAAUAUAAAGAAGCUUCCGAAUACAAUAGGUAAUCUUCAGAAACUGCAAACUUUGGAGCUAGAAUCUACAAAUCUACACCAAC
rnacentral:misc_RNA from 1 species